rnacentral:rRNA from 1 species
UCCGGACCGACGGUUCGCCGCCCGGCGUCUACUGUCGGCUUCCGAACAGCCCGCCGGCUCGCGCGGGGUGCUCUUCAUCGAGUGUCCCGAGUGGCCGGCACGUUUACUUUGAAAAAAUUAGAGUGCUCAAAGCAGGCCCAGCCGCCUGAAUAUUCGUGCAUGGAAUAAUGGAAUAGGACCUCGGUUCUAUUUUGUUGGUUUUCGGAACUCGAGGUAAUGAUUAAUAGGGACAGACGGGGGCAUUCGUAUUGCGACGUUAGAGGUGAAAUUCUUGGAUCGUCGCAAGACGAACUACUGCGAAAGCAUUUGCCAAGAAUGUUUUCAUUAAUCAAGAACGAAAGUUAGAGGUUCGAAGGCGAUCAGAUACCGCCCUAGUUCUAACCAUAAACGAUGCUGACUAGCGAUCCGCCGGCGUUAUUCCCAUGACUCGGCGGGCAGCUUCCGGGAAACCAAAGUCUUUGAGUUCCGGGGGAAGUAUGGUUGCAAAGCUGAAACUUAAAGGAAUUGACGGAAGGGCACCACCAGGAGUGGAGCCUGCGGCUUAAUUUGACUCAACACGGGGAACCUCACCAGGCCCGGACACCGGAAGGAUUGACAGAUUGAGAGCUCUUUCUUGAUUCGGUGGGUGGUGGUGCA